GACGAACGCUGGCGGCACGCUUAACACAUGCAAGUCGAACGAGGUCCAUGGAGCUUGCUCCAGAAGACCUAGUGGCGAACGGGUGCGUAACACGUGAGAAACCUGUCCCGGACUUGGGAAUAACAGUCGGAAACGACUGCUAAUACCGAAUAUCUUCACAUCACCGCAUGGUGGAGUGAAGAAAGCUUUUGCGGUUUGGGAGGGUCUCGCGGCCUAUCAGCUAGUUGGUGAGGUAACGGCUCACCAAGGCAUCGACGGGUAGCUGGUCUGAGAGGAUGAUCAGCCACACUGGGACUGAGACACGGCCCAGACUCCUACGGGAGGCAGCAGUGGGGAAUAUUGCACAAUGGGCGAAAGCCUGAUGCAGCGAUGCCGCGUGCGGGAAGAAGGCCCUAGGGUUGUAAACCGCUUUCAGCAGGGAAGAAAAUGACGGUACCUGCAGAAGAAGGUGCGGCCAACUACGUGCCAGCAGCCGCGGUGACACGUAGGCACCAAGCGUUGUCCGGAUUUAUUGGGCGUAAAGAGCUCGUAGGCGGUUCGGUAAGUCGGGUGUGAAAACUCUGGGCUCAACCCAGAGACGCCACCCGAUACUG
rnacentral:rRNA from 1 species